GCUGCGAUGGCCGAGUGGUUAAGGCGUUGGACUUGAAAUCCAAUGGGGUCUCCCAUUGAUUUCAGGUUCGAACCCUGCUCACAGCG